rnacentral:lncRNA from 1 species
AUGCUUCUAGAAGAUUCCUGGCGAAGCCUCAGGAUCCCUGGAGGCUGUGGACGGGUGUCCGUGAGGCUGGCCUGCAGCUGUGAAAUCCUCUGCACCCAGACUUCCGCCUGCUCGCCCAGCCCUGGGCCUGCCCGCAUGGGGAGGAGAGAAGCCCCAGGCUGCCUGGGAUGGGCUCCCAGCCGUCCCUGCCCCUCGCUUCUGGCCACGUUCUGCCCGUCAUGGCCCAGGACCUCUGGCUCUGUGCCUGGGGAGCAGCUGCACCCCUCACUCUCAGGGGGCUUGGCCUACGCCCACUUUAAGCUGCUGCCCAGGCCCAUGGAGCGAGCAGCUCCGUCUGAAGAAGGGGAGAUGAGAGAGCAGCUGGAGAACAGGAGGCCUAGGAGGCUGACCAGGCCUAGGACACCAGGAGAACGUGGCAGCUGCGUCCUGGGUGCAGGACCCUCCCUGCCUUACCAGGCCCCCACCCAGCUGCCAGGAGGCAGGGUCCAGGCGGCCCUGGUGUGAGGUCCACCAAAAUCCAGCGCUGUGUUAUGGGGAAGGCUCUCGAAGUUGCCCAGUGCUGUGUCUGCACGGGGAGGCUCCUACAGGAAGUGCGUGUGAAGGAGGAAAAUGCAUGCAGGGGAAGGAGUAGGGUGCCAUGGUGAGUCAAACCGCGUUCCUGGAAAAGAUCCGUUCAAGCGUGAGCCCCAGGACCUAGGAAUGUGAAAUUUAUUGGAAAACAGGGCUUUGGCAGAUGUGAUUAAGGAUGCCAAAAUGAGAGCAUCCUGGGAUUAGGGUGGGCCUAAAUCCAAGGACAGGCGUCCUUAUAGGAGAAAGGGGGAGGAGGGGUUGAGACCUAGAGGGGCAGGGAAGACAGGCAGGAAUGGGAGUGAUGUGGCUGCAAGCCAAGGACUGCAGGCAACGCUGGGUGAGCGAGCGUGAGCAUGUGUGCAUGUGUGAGCGUGCGUGUGUGUGCAUGUGUGUGUGCGUGUGUCUGAGUGUGCGUGUGUGUGAAUGUGUGCAUGCAUGUGUGUGCAGGUGUGCGUGCAUGUGUGAGUAUGCAUGCGUGUGUGAAUAUGAGCCUCUGGGGAUCAGGAAGCAGGCACAGAGCAGCCCCUCCCUCCAAGCCUGCAAAGCAAGCAGCCCUGCUGACCCCUCUGGGACCAAAGGAGAAUAAAAUUCUCCCCUCAGUUUGCGGCACUUUAUGUGGCAGUCCCAGGACACUGAUACAGGUGUCAAGAGACGGGCACGGGCCGGGCACCAUGGCUCACGUCUGUCAUCCCAGCACUGUAGGAGGCUGAGGUGGGUGGAUCACUUGAAGUCAGGAGUUCAAGACCAGCCUGGCCAACAUGGUGAAACCCCGUCUCUACUAAAAAUGCAAAGAUUAACUGAGUGUGGUGGUGCACGCCUGUAAUCCCAG